rnacentral:rRNA from 1 species
UACGUAGGGGGCUAGCGUUGUCCGGAAUCAUUGGGCGUAAAGAGCGUGUAGGCGGCCCGGUAAGUCCGCUGUGAAAGUCGGGGGCUCAACCCUCGAAUGCCGGUGGAUACUGUCGGGCUAGAGUGCGGAAGAGGCGAGUGGAAUUCCUGGUGUAGCGGUGAAAUGCGCAGAUAUCAGGAAGAACACCAAUGGCGAAGGCAGCUCUCUGGGACGGUACUGACGCUGAGACGCGAAAGCGUGGGGAGCGAACAGG